UACGUAGGGGGCAAGCGUUGUCCGGAAUCGAUUGGCGUAAAGAGCGCGUAGGCGGCCAGAUAAGUCCGGUGUGAAAGUCAAAGGCUCAACCUUUGAAUGCCGCUGGAAACUGUCUGGCUAGAGUCGGAAGGGGCGAGUGGAAUUCCUGGUGUAGCAGUGAAAUGCGUAGAGAUCGUAAGGAAGACCAGUGGCGAAGGCGGGUCUCUGGACAGUUCCUGACACUGAGG
rnacentral:rRNA from 1 species